GUGAAAGUUAUAUGAGAACCGAAGGUCAGCACUUAGGGAAACUAUCAGGGACUCGGAUUCAAGGCCAUACUAAUUUCAAGAUUGCAGAAGGUGAUAUCAGCGAUGAUGAGGGUCAGUUAGAAUAAAAGCUAACAGGUCUUUUUCUUCCAGCCGUUGUCAGGCCCAUCUUGGAUUCUUUUGAGACUGCCAAACAAGUUCCUCAACCAGCUCUAAGUGAUGCUUCACAGGGCAGCAGAUAGAGCUUGGUCCAGGCUGCACAGGCACUCAAGUCCUGAAGCUGAAGAUACUAGUGUUACCUUAUCAGCUAAUUGUUUGCUUCACCGUGGCCUCAGUGACAUGUGGCGCUGGUUCAGCUUACCGUUUGCCAAUUGUUUGCAAGUCGAUCUACUAAAAGUAACUGUCACAUCUUGUUCAUCCUAGUCUGGAAGAAGCUAACAGUUUAUUAGAAGAAGUUACUGGUUCUUGUUUAUUCGUGUUAUAAGUGCUGUCUGUCGCACCUUGUUCAUCCUAGAUGAUGAAUUAAUGAUGUAACUGUUUUUGUGUCAUCCGUGAUGACUUAAUGAUGUAACAUUGAACGACACAUCCGUUCUCAAUGUUGUUUUUGCUGUUCUUUUUUCAUUUUUAUUUAAUAUAGUAUUCAGAGCA